AGUGAACGCUGGCGGUAGGCCUAACACAUGCAAGUCGAACGGCAGCACAGUAAGAGCUUGCUCUUACGGGUGGCGAGUGGCGGACGGGUGAGGAAUACAUCGGAAUCUACUUUUUCGUGGGGGAUAACGUAGGGAGACUUACGCUAAUACCGCAUACGACCUACGGGUGAAAGCAGGGGAUCUUCGGACCCUGCGCGAUUGAAUGAGCCGAUGUCGGAUUAGCUAGUUGGCGGGGUAAAGGCCCACCAAGGCGACGAUCCGUAGCUGGUCUGAGAGGAUGAUCAGCCACACUGGAACUGAGACACGGUCCAGACUCCUACGGGAGGCAGCAGUGGGGAAUAUUGGACAAUGGGCGCAAGCCUGAUCCAGCCAUACCGCGUGGGUGAAGAAGGCCUUCGGGUUGUAAAGCCCUUUUGUUGGGAAAGAAAAGCAGCAGGUUAAUACCCCGCUGUUCUGACGGUACCCAAAGAAUAAGCACCGGCUAACUUCGUG
rnacentral:rRNA from 1 species